rnacentral:rRNA from 1 species
UGGGGAAUAUUGGACAAUGGGCGGAAGCCUGAUCCAGCAACGCCGCGUGAGGGAUGACGGCCUUCGGGUUGUAAACCUCUUUCAGUACCGACGAAGCGAAAGUGACGGUAGGUACAGAAGAAGGACCGGCCAACUACGUGCCAGCAGCCGCGGUAAUACGUAGGGUCCGAGCGUUGUCCGGAAUUAUUGGGCGUAAAGGGCUCGUAGGCGGUUUGUCGCGUCGGGAGUGAAAACAGCGGGCUUAACUCGUUGCUUGCUUUCGAUACGGGGCAGACUAGAGGUAUGCAGGGGAGAAUGGAAUUCCUGGUGUAGCGGUGAAAUGCGCAGAUAUCAGGAGGAACACCGGUGGCGAAGGCGGUUCUCUGGCAUUACCUGACGCUGAGGAGCGAAAGUGUGGGGAGCGAACAGGAUUAGAUACCCUGGUAGUCCACACCGUAAA